rnacentral:rRNA from 1 species
UUCUGGGAGGAUUGACAGAUUGAGAGCUCUUUCUUGAUUCGGUGGAUGGUGGUGCAUGUCCGUUUUUAGUUGGUGGAGCGAUUUAUCUGGUUAAUUCCGAUAACGAACGAGACUCCUAGCCUAUUAAAUAGGUGCGGGGUUCUCUGCACCCUUCUUAGAGGGACAAGCGGCUCCUAACCGCACGCGACAGAGCAAUAACAGGUCUGUGAUGCCCUUACAU